GGUGGGUGUAGCUCAGUUGGUUAGAGCGGAGGAUUGUGGAUCCUCAGGUCGAGAGUUCGAAUCUCUUUACCCACCCCAA
rnacentral:tRNA from 1 species